rnacentral:rRNA from 1 species
UACAGAGGGUGCGAGCGUUGUCCGGAAUCACUGGGCGUAAAGGGCGCGUAGGUGGCGGCCCAAGUCCAUGGUGAAAGCUCGAUGCUCAACAUCGAGUCGGCCACGGAUACUGGGUUGCUCGAGCACUGUAGGGGCAGAUGGAAUUCCGGGUGUAGCGGUGGAAUGCGUAGAGAUCCGGAAGAACACCGGUGGCGAAGGCGGUCUGCUGGGCGAGUUGCUGGACACUGAGGCGCGACAGCGUGGGGAGCAAACAGGG